GCUGCCUCCUUGCCCCCCCCCCCACUGCAGGGUACGGCCCUGGCACUAAGCUAUGGGAAGCUGUAGUGUCACAGCUCAGUACCUACAUGUCAAGGACACCGUUCAAGGAUGUGUAGGACUUAAUAGGUCAGUGCGUGUCAAGAACACAGUUCAAUGAUAUCUCAUAGGUCAGUGCGUGUCAAGAACACAGUUCAAUGAUAUCUCAUAGGUCAGUGCGUGUCAAGAACACAGUUCAAUGAUAUCUCAUAGGUCAGUACGUGUCAAGAACACAGUUCAAUGAUAUCUUAUAGGUCAGUGCGUGUCAAGGACGCAUGAAUCAAAUCGACUCACUGUGAACAACAGGCAUAUGUGACACAGCAUAAUAUAAUAGAUCUAUUACACAGAAAAAUGAAUAAAAACUCUUAUUUUACUGCUGGCUCGUCAUACCCAUAUAUAUGAAGGAAGUUGUUGAGCAUAUUUCGACGUAUCAAUGUACUAGUAUUAUUUCACUCGAGAUUUGAUAUCUGUGCGAACAGUCUGUGAUAUUCCACCCGUUGUAUUCCUGUGUUUUUGUCGCCGUUAAGAACCUAUCUAUACUAGUACAUGUAGAAUGCUAGAAUGCUACGUACAUAUACUGUACAUAAAUAUAUAUAAUACAUAUACUAUACAUAGUAUAGAUAUGUUGAUGUUAUAGUUUUAUCGUAAUACCUUAAUACUUUUACACGCGUAUUUCGGGCACCAAUAGCUUUCCACACUUGCUACAUUGAAUAACUGUUGAACUUAUGAUUAGCAUUGUGUUUGGAUUGUGUACGAUGGAUGUAGUAAUUUGGAAAUUUUUGAAAUCGUUUCUAUUUUCGGGUAAACGUAGAGUCGUUAUUCAGUGUGACAAGUGUCGUGUUUAUAUGGUACCCGAUUUUCGUGCAGGAAGACUGCAGUAUUACUAUUAGUGUUACACUGAACACGCUCAUGCACUACUUCAUAAUCAGAAAUCUUUUGUUUUACCAUCGACUUGUUUAUCACGUGUCGAAUAUAUAGUUUGUCUACUGCAUUAACGUAAAGAAAUCUCAUUCACCUGCUAUAAUAUAUAGUUUGUCUACUGCAUUUACGUAAAUAAAUCUCAUUCGCCUGUUAUAAUAUAUAGUUUGUCUACUGCAUUUACGUAAAUAAAUCUCAUUCGCCUGUUAUAAUGAAGAAAGAUUGCACUGCAUUGCAUUGAUGUUUUGAGUAAAAAAAUAUUGUUUGUAAUAAAUAUGUGAUUGUGCAUA